UCGUUUGUACUACAGCCAUACAACACUAAAUCAUCAGCUAAAACUGUUUGCAUGAUUCAAAGAAGCUUAGCAAAAACAAGAAAUAUAUACAUUCAAUGCACCAAGAUUGCUAUUGCCAAACAUGUAAGUUGCAUAAUUCUAUAAACUAUGCCAAUUCAACUGCUUCUGUCAAAAACCGCAAGUAUUUAAAUAAAUUGCUUAAAUACAAAAAUACUAAUUCAAUGAGCAGCAGCUACACUUGAUUUAUAUUUAACUUUUUGAAUAUCCUUAAGUCAUCGAAGCAUGAAACUGUAAAUCAAACUUUAAAAACAAGUUAGUAGUUACUUUUCUUUCUUACAGUCCUUAACUAGAGCACUCACUUGGAAGUGAUUUAUACCACCAGCAUGCAGGUCCACGGGCCCAUAACUCUGCAAUGCCUCAACUGAUAUUUAAAAUAAAAUGAUGUUGAGCACACAAACACACUUAUUAAACACAGAUUAUGUGUAGAAGUAUGGAAGUAUUUGGUGCUGAAAAUAUUUUGAAAAGAAACUACAUGACAUAGCAGGCAGAUCUUAAGACGACUCCUAAAUACCCGCCCCCUUAGACGUGUUUAGACAUAAAUAUACAACUUGUCUCAAGAUUAUUAUAUUCUCCUAAUAAAUGAUAUAUUUUACAGAUGUCCUUAUGUACAACAUAAAGAUUUUCUUGGAUAGUAUGACUGAAAGAAAAAAAAAAGAGAAAUUCAAAAAGUAAUCUCUUCAAGGUCAAAUGAACAUGGUAAUGCUAAACUAUUUGAAAGAACACUAAAAGUUCAACAUUCUCACACUGCAGUGAUGUUUGGUUGUUUUUAUAAUUCAAUUCAUUUUUUUGACCGACUGACACUGAUGCCUGGUUUGACACUGACAUACACGUGUCCUUGUCUUAUUUGAUGGUUGGAAUGUUUAUUAAUUUGAGCUGUCUGCAAAUUCCAAAAAGUACUGUCUAAACAAUCUGUUUCAAGAUUUUUGUAGUUUUGCACCUAAAAAUGCAGUCUGCAGUCACUGUAUUUCGGUCAAUGGAACAAGGGUGCAUGAUGACUUUAAAUGAUGUGGAACACUUGUAAAACACAUUUACUACAAUCAAACAUACAUUUCUGAACAAGCCUGCAAUGUUUUGAAGAAAAAAAUAUGCCAAGAAAAACAAAAAUACAAAGAUUCUUCAAUUUUUCUGCAAAAAAAGAGAAGUGAAAAUAAGGGGGAAAAAACAG